CCUACGGGAGGCAGCAGUAGGGAAUCUUGGACAAUGGGCGAAAGCCUGAUCCAGCGACGCCGCGUGGGUGAAGAAGCCCUUCGGGGUGUAAAGCCCUUUUCCGGGAGAAGAAAAAAGACGGUACCCCGGGAAUAAGCCCCGACUAACUACGUGCCAGCAGUCGCGGUAUUACGUAGGGGGCGAGCGUUGUCCGGAAUUACUGGGCGUAAAGAGCGCGUGGGCGGGGAGGAAAGUUCUGUGUGAAACCCCUGAGCACAACUGGGGGGGGCCGCAGAAGACUUCCCCCCUUGAGGGAAGCAGAGGAAAGCGGAACUUGCGGUGGAGGGGUAAAAUGCGUAGAGAUCGCAAGGAGCGCCGGUGGCGAAGGCGGCUUUCGGGACUUCCCCUGACGCUGAGGCGCAAAAGCUAGGGUAGCGAACGGGUUUAGAUCCCCUGGUAGU
rnacentral:rRNA from 1 species